UACGAAGGGGGCUAGCGUUGUUCGGAAUUACUGGGCGUAAAGCGCACGUAGGCGGAUAUUUAAGUUAGGGGUGAAAUCCCAGGGCUCAACCCUGGAACUGCCUUUAAUACUGGGUAUCUCGAGUCCGAGAGAGGUGAGUGGAAUUCCGAGUGUAGAGGUGAAAUUCGUAGAUAUUCGGAGGAACACCAGUGGCGAAGGCGGCUCACUGGCUCGGUACUGACGCCGAGGUGCGAAAGCGUGGGGAGCAAACAGG
rnacentral:rRNA from 1 species